CCUACGGGAGGCAGCAGUGGGGAAUAUUGCACAAUGGGGGAAACCCUGAUGCAGCGACGUCGCGUGAGUGAUGAAGUAUUUCGGUAUGUAAAGCUCUAUCAGCAGGGAAGAAAAUGACGGUACCUGACGAAGAAGCCCCGGCUAACUACGUGCCAGCAGCCGCGGUAAUACGUAGGGGGCAAGCGUUAUCCGGAUUUACUGGGUGUAAAGGGAGCGUAGACGGGGGUGCAAGUCAGAUGUGAAAGCCCAUGGCUCAACCACGGGACUGCAUUUGGAACUGUUAUGCUAGAGUAUCGGAGAGGCAGGCGGAAUUCCUAGUGUAGCGGUGAAAUGCGUAGAUAUUAGGAGGAAAACUAGUGGCGAAGGCGGCCUGCUGGACGAUGACUGACGUUGAGGCUCGAAAGCGUGGGGAGCAAACAGGAUUAGAUACCCUUGUAGUC
rnacentral:rRNA from 1 species